rnacentral:rRNA from 1 species
AGCGAACGCUGGCGGCAGGCCUAACACGUGCAAGUCGAGCGCCCAGCAAUGGGAGCGGCAGACGGGUGAGUAACGCGUGGGGAUGUGCCCAAUGGUGCGGAAUAACCCAGGGAAACUUGGAUUAAUACCGCAUGUGCCCUUCGGGGGCAAGAUUUAUCGCCAUUGGAUCAACCCGCGUCUGAUUAGCUAGUUGGUGAGGUAAAGGCUCACCAAGGCGACGAUCAGUAGCUGGUCUGAGAGGAUGAUCAGCCACACUGGGACUGGGACACGGCCCAGACUCCUACUGGAGGCAGCAGUGGGGAAUAUUGGACAAUGGGCUCAAGCCUGAUCCAGCCAUGCCGCGUGAGUGAUGAAGGCCUUAGGGUUGUGAAGCUCUUGCGCCGGUGAAGAUAAUGACGGUAACCGGAGAAGAAGCCCCGGCUAACUUCGUGCCAGCCGCCGCCGUAA